GAGAGCGCAGUACAACGGAGAGUUGUAUGCUGCAUUUGGGAAGGACGAAUCGCUCCCGAAAAGGAAUCUAUUGAUUCUCCCCCAAUUGGUUGGACCGUAGGUGCGAUGAUUUACUUCAC
rnacentral:ncRNA from 1 species